GUUAGUGCCUGUAGCACCCCUGCUGGGGUAUAGGCCGUCGACAAGGGACCUCCAGAGUUCACGGUCGCUGGCGUUCUUUUCUAUCUGCGACCAGGUGCCUCCCAGUCUCUUUGUGUCUGCCUGAAGGUCCCGGCGCCAGGUGUUUUUAGGACGUCCUCUGCUUCUCUUUCCUUGAGGGUUCCAGGUCAGAGCCUGUCUGGUGGUGUUUGACUCUGGUUUGCGUAAUGUGUGCCCGAUCCAUCUCCAUCUUCUUCGUCCAAUUUCGUCUGCUGCUGGGGGUUGUUUUGUUCUUGUCCACAGAUCGUUGUUGCUGACCUUGUUUGGCCAGUAGAUUUUCAGGAUUCUUCUGAGACAUUUGUUUAUGAAGAGUUCCAGAUGUUCUUGAGAAGUAGAAAUGAUGUCCUUGCCUUACCUAUCCUAGCUUUUACAUCUGCAUCUGUACCACCCUGACUGCUGAUGAUACUCCCCAAGUAGGUGAAGGACUCUACCUCUUCUAACAUGGUGUCACCAAGGGUGAUCGGUUCCGUACUAGUUGUAUUUAUCCUUAUGUUUUUAGUUUUUCCCUCAUGGAUGUUAAGUCCUACUUGUGAGGAAGUCUCUACGAGUGUAUUGAUCUUGUCUUGCAUCUGGUGGUAGCUAUGUGACAGUAGUGCCAGGUCAUCUGCGAAAUCUAAGUCAUCCAGUUGGGUCCAUAAUGUCCAUCGGAUUCCGUUCUUCCUUUGUUCUGUUGUUGUUCUCAUGAUCCAGUCAAUGGCUAGUAAAAACAGGAAUGGGGAUAGAAGACAACCCUGUCUGACCCCAGUCUUGAUCUGGAACUGUUCCGUGAGCUGUCCAUCAUGUAUCACUCUACAGGUCAUUCCAGAAUAGCUGUUUUCAAUGAUGUUCACUAGCUUAGUGGGCACUCCAUGGUGUCUCAAUAACUUCCAUGCGGUCUCUCUAUGUACACUGUCGAAUGCCUUCUCGUAGUCGACAAAGUUGACAUAGAGUGGGGAGUUCCACUCUAGUGACUGCUCUAUGAUAAUGCGAAGAGUGGCAAUCUGGUCGACACAGGACCUAUUCUUUCUAAAUCCUGCUUGCUCGUCUCUCAGUUGGUGGUCAACUGCAUCCUUCAUUCUGUCCAGGAUGACUCUAUUUAGCACUUUGCCUGGCACAGAGAGUAGGGUGAUCCCUCUAUAGUUGUUGCAGUUUCCCAGGUCUCCUUUCUUUGGGAGCUUGUUAAUAAGGCCCUCUUUCCAGUCAGAUGGUAUCUCUUCUUCUUCCCAGAUCCUUUUGAAGAGUGGAUGCAGCAGGCUCACCGUGAUACCAACGUCUGCCUUUAGGGCUUCUGCCGGGAUGUUAUCUGGCCCAGUUGCUUUCCCACUCUUCAGCUGCUGUAUCGCUUUCCUGAUCUCCUCUCUGCUGGGUAUGUCACAGCUGAUGGGGAGGUCGGUCUGUGCUGGUGGGAUAUCUGGUGGGUUUACUGGUGGGGGUCUAUUUAGCAGUUCCUCAAAGUGUUCUGCCCAUCUGUGUAGUUGUCCGUCCUUUGUUUUAAUGCUGUUUCCCUCUUUAUCCCUGACCGGUCUUUGUGGCCUGCUGUAUUUGCCCGACAGCUUUCUGGUGGUGUCAUACAACUGUUUCAUGUUUCCAUUUCUUGCUGCUUCCUCUGCUUCUUCGGCUAGGUUGUCGAUGUAUUUCCGCUUGUCCGCCUUAAUGCUCCUCUUAACCAUUCUAUUGAUAUUAGUAUACUCUUCUUGUGCCUUUGCCUUGGAUGCUCUUGUACGACUGUUUGUCACUAGUGCUUUCUUCUCUUUUCUUGUUUGGAUUCUUUUUUGGGUUUCUGUAGAUAUCCACUCCUUUUGCUGGAAUUUCCUGUAGCCAACCACUUCUUGGCAUGUGGAUAUUAGUGCGUCUUUAAUAUGUUGCCACUGACUGUCGAUGCUGUUUUCGUCUUCAAGUAGGUCCUGGAGAACGUCAAAUUUGUUUGAUAGUUUCAGUCUGAAUUCCCCUUGUUUUUCUGCGUCCCUCAAUAGGCUCACGUUGUAUUUCUGUCUGUUAGCUGUUGUCUCCGUCUUGUUCUUCUUGAGCUUGAGUUUCAGUCUAGCAGUUAACAAAUGAUGGUCAGAUGCUACAUCUGCCCCCCUUUUAACUCUCACAUCCUGUAGUGAUCUUCUGAACUUCUUGCUUAUGCAGAUGUGAUCUAUUUGGUUCUCUGUUGUGUGGUCUGGUGAUACCCAUGUUGCUUUGUGUAUCCUCUUAUGUGGGAAGAUGCUGCCUCCGAUAACAAGCUUGUUCAGUGCGCAGAUAUCCAUGAACUUCUCUCCGUUUUCGCUUGCUUCUCCAAGUCCAUGUGUUCCCAUCACCUCCUCAUAUCCGAUGUUUACUUUUCCUACCUUUGCAUUAAAGUCACCCAUGAGGACGGUGGUAUCUUUCUCUGGAUAUUUGUCCAGGAUGUUCUGAAGCCUGUCGUAGAACUCCUCUUUUUCUUCUUCUUCACUGGGGUUCGUUGGUGCGUAGCAUUGGAUGACAUUCAUCUUUAUCUUCUCCUUUGUUGUUCUGAACGAUGCUGUGAUGAUCCUUGGUCCAUGGGCCUCCCAUUCUAUCAGUGCUCUCUGUGCGGCUCUUGAUAGCAUGAGGGCUACCCCUUCUGUGUGUGGGGCAUGGUCAUCUUCAUGGCCCGAGUAAAUCAGCAGCUCUCCACUCAUUAAUCUUUUCUGGCCUGAUUGUGUCCAUCUUGCCUCACUGAUGCCCAUUAGUACAAGAUUAUAGUUUUUCAUCUCUUGUGCUAUUUGAAAGGUUUUCCCUGUUUGGUACAUUGUUCUUACAUUCCAUGUUCCAAUGGUAAUGUUUUUCCUGGUUGAGAGAA